UACGGAGGAUGCGAGCGUUAUCCGGAUUUAUUGGGUUUAAAGGGUGCGUAGGCGGAGUGCCAAGUCAGCGGUAAAAAUUCGGGGCUCAACCCCGUCGUGCCGUUGAAACUGGCGCCCUUGAGUGGGCGAGAAGUAUGCGGAAUGCGUGGUGUAGCGGUGAAAUGCAUAGAUAUCACGCAGAACCCCGAUUGCGAAGGCAGCAUGCCGGCUUCCGACUGACGCUGAAGCACGAAAGCGUGGGGAUCGAACAGG
rnacentral:rRNA from 1 species